rnacentral:rRNA from 1 species
AUUGAACGCUGGCGGCAGGCCUAACACAUGCAAGUCGAACGAGUGGCGGACGGGUGCGUAAUGUCUGGGCAACUGCCUGAUGGAGGGGGGUAACUACUGGAAACGGUAGCUAAUACCGCAUACCAUCAGAUGUGCCCAGAUGGGAUUAGCUAGUUGGUGGGGUAACGGCUCACCAAGGCGACGAUCCCUAGCUGGUCUGAGAGGAUGACCAGCCACACGGGAACUGAGACACGGUCAAGACUCCUACGGGAGGCAGCAGGGGGGAAGAUUGCAAAAUGGGCGCAAGCCGGAUGAAGCCAGGCCGCGGGGAUGAAGAAGGCCUUGGGGUGUUAAAGUACUUUCAGCGGGGAGGCGUUACUCGCAGAAGAAGCACCGGCUAACUCCGUGCCAGCAGCCGCGGUAAUAC